ACCCACCGGGCUCAGAUGGUAGGGCACGUGACUCUUGAUCUCAGGGUUGUGGGUUCAAGCCCCACAUUGGGUG
rnacentral:tRNA from 1 species